rnacentral:rRNA from 1 species
AUACGGAGGGUGCGAGCGUUAAUCGGAAUUACUGGGCGUAAAGCGUGCGUAGGCGGUUUGCUAAGUCAGAUGUGAAAGCCCCGGGCUUAACCUGGUAACUGCAUUUGAUACUGGCAGACUAGAGUAUGAUAGAGGGGGGUAGAAUUCCUGGUGUAGCGGUGAAAUGCGUAGAUAUCAGGAGGAAUACCAGUGGCGAAGGCGGCCCCCUGGAUCAAUACUGACGCUGAGGUACGAAAGCGUGGGGAGCGAACAGGAUUAGAAACCCUAGUAGUCC